AUGAAUAACAAAAACAUCUACGAAACACCUGCUUUUAUCCGGCAAUCAGCCAAUUAUUGUAAAAAUAACAAGUUGAAAAAUAAAGUUUUUUUUUUUACUUGUACAAAUAAAGUCUCUUGUUUCUCCAACUCCAUAUUGAGCAUAGAUCAGCAAACGGUAAUGAGAAUAUUUCUGUUUCUGUCGUGACCACUUCGCGGUCUGCGUUUAAACUAUGUAGAUUUCUUUGAAAAAUGUUAAGAAUCAGAGACUUGGAUUUAAAUAAUAAACUUUAGAGCCCCAGUUGUAAAUUGUAGAAUAUAAACAAUAGAUGUACAUUGUCGGAAAUACUAAAUGUAUGUGUACUCGCUGAGAAAGAAGAGAAAACCUCGGCAAGAGUAGCUUUUCGUUCUGUUUCUAAAUCUUCCCGGAACAAAAAUGAGUGAUUUUAACAACUAAAUGAUUAUGUAAUUACAGGUGACCAGAUUAUCAAAGCUUUACUUGUGAUAUAUGACUGACGUUUAAUUUCUAUAACAACUGCCCCCAAUAAAUGUU
rnacentral:lncRNA from 1 species